UACGAGGGAGGCUAGCGUUGUUCGGAAUUACUGGGCGUAAAGCGCACGUAGGCGGAUACUUAAGUCAGGGGUGAAAUCCUGGAGCUCAACUCCAGAACUGCCUUUUGAUACUGAAGAUCUUGAGUUCGGGAGAGGUGAGUGGAACUGCGAAGUGUAGAGGUGAAAUUCGUAGAUAUCGGGAGGAACACCGGUGGCGAAGGCGGCGACCUGGGUAGAUACGUGACGGCUGAGGUG
rnacentral:rRNA from 1 species